GUACGAAGUUAGUAACGGACGUCGGACGGGCCGAAGGGCCUAAACCGAACAUAGCGAAGUACGAGCGGUAACAGAAAGAAAAGACUUGCUUUCUUUGCUGACGAGCGGCGGACGGGUGAGUAAUGCCUGGGAAUAUACCCUGAUGUGGGGAGUAACUAUUGGAAACGAUAGCUAAUACCGCAUAAUCUCUUCGGAGCAAAGAGGGGGACCUUCGGGCCUCUCGCGUCAGGAUUAGCCCAGGUGGGAUUAGCUAGUUGGUGGGGGUAAUGGCUCACCAAGGCGACGAUCCCUAGCUGGUCUGAGAGGAUGAUCAGCCACACUGGAACUGAGACACGGUCCAGACUCCUACGGGAGGCAGCAGUGGGGAAUAUUGCACAAUGGGGGAAACCCUGAUGCAGCCAUGCCGCGUGUAUGAAGAAGGCCUUCGGGUUGUAAAGUACUUUCAGUUGUGAGGAAGGCAGUUAAGUUAAUAGCUUGGCUGUUUGACGUUAGCAACAGAAGAAGCACCGGCUAACUCCGUGCCAGCAGCCGCGGUAAU
rnacentral:rRNA from 1 species